rnacentral:sRNA from 4 species
UAAAGGUUAGCUCACAUGAUUCACUCCAUUCGCCUACUAAGCCUACUACUCACCGCCUUUAAUACGCGCGGUAGGCUGGUGGGUGAAAAACAAAACUGAGUUGACCACCAUCAGAAAGAAACCCGCGCACUGCGCGGGUUUUUUU